AUAUCUUAUCCGGUAUAUUCUUCUCUGGCUCUUCCACUAAAGGACCUGCAACAAAUCAAAUGCAGUGCUGAAAGUUUGUUUCCAUAAUACGGAGUUGACUUCUGCUUUCUGGGAUAGAAAGUAUGCAGACCUGCAAAUAGUGACCUUCAAUUGUUGUGCAUUGCAUUUGAGGCUCUCAUUUGGUAUUUGAGAUUAUGCGCCAUGAAAAUUUCAAGUGGUCUACUACCGGCUUCAGGAAGAGGUGGAAUGUCUUUGCAGCAUUUUCCACAUGCUUCACUUAAAUUUGGGAUUGUCAAAGCAACAUAGAGGAUGAUAGUACAUUGUUCAUAGACUUGAUUUUGGUGUAUGAUGGGGAGACCAAUUCCUGUCUCUUUGGAACCAUUAGAGGCCAAUAACAACCACAAUUCCAAUUCCAUGCCAGGCAGGCGUUUUCACACAUAAGGAGUGCUCUACACAUAAACUCGUUUAAUCAGAAUUGAAAACCAACUGCUUGCGUGAUUGAAGUCGGAUGUGGAUUUUAACUUAAAGAUUCUUGCUCCUUCUUUCAUGUAGUAGUUUACUUCCUAAAAUUUCAUUUCCCUUUCCUGUUUUAAUUGUGAAUUUCUUGUAAACUUUUGACUAAAUCGUCUCCCAAGGUACUUGACAUA